rnacentral:rRNA from 1 species
UACGUAGGGUGCGAGCGUUGUCCGGAAUUACUGGGCGUAAAGGGCGCGUAGGCGGCGUGGUAAGUCACUUGUGAAAUCUCUGAGCUUAACUCAGAACGGCCAAGUGAUACUGCUGUGCUAGAGUGCAGAAGGGGCAAUCGGAAUUCUUGGUGUAGCGGUGAAAUGCGUAGAUAUCAAGAGGAACACCUGAGGUGAAGACGGGUUGCUGGGCUGACACUGACGCUGAGGCGCGAAAGCCAGGGGAGCAAACGGG